GGGGACUUUCGGAGGGGCGAGGUUGACGUGUCCUUGUCUCCGUUGGUUGGGUGACCGAGGUCCAAAAGGUCCCCCCGGCCCCCCGGGUCCUGCUGGAGAACGGGGGAAACCAGGAGCCCCGGGCAAGCCU